rnacentral:rRNA from 1 species
GACGAACGCUGGCGGCGUGCUUAACACAUGCAAGUCGAACGGAAAGGCCCUGCUUUUGUGGGGUGCUCGAGUGGCGAACGGGUGAGUAACACGUGAGUAACCUGCCCCUGACUUUGGGAUAACUUCAGGAAACUGGGGCUAAUACCGGAUAGGAGCUCCUGCUGCAUGGUGGGGGUUGGAAAGUUUCGGCGGUUGGGGAUGGACUCGCGGCUUAUCAGCUUGUUGGUGGGGUAGUGGCUUACCAAGGCUUUGACGGGUAGCCGGCCUGAGAGGGUGACCGGCCACAUUGGGACUGAGAUACGGCCCAGACUCCUACGGGAGGCAGCAGUGGGGAAUAUUGCACGAUGGGCGGAAGCCUGAUGCAGCAACGCCGCGUGCGGGAUGACGGCCUUCGGGUUGUAAACCGCUUUCGCCUGUGACGAAGCGUGAGUGACGGUAAUGGGUAAAGAAGCACCGGCUAACUACGUG